UUGCUUAAGAUUAGGUCGUUGGUAAUUUAAAAGCUUACCAAGCCGAUGAUCUUUAGUUGAUCUGAGAGGAUGAUCAACCACACUGGAACUGAAACAAGGUCCAGGCUAAUACGUUGGCCAGCAGUGCGGAAUAUUGGACAAUGAACGAAAGUUUGAUCCAGCAAUACUAACUGGGUGAUGACGGCUUAUUUAAGUUGUAAGAUCCUUUAAUUAAAGAAGAUAAUGACACUAUUUAAUUGAACCAGUCCUGGCUAAUACUCGUGCCAGCAGCCGCGGUAAUACGGGAAGGGCAAGCGUUAUCCGGCAUGACUGGGCGUAAAGGGUCCGUAGACGGUAAAGUAAGUUUUUUGUCAAAUUUCAAGACCCAAUCUUGAACUAGCAACUAAUACUACUUUACUUGAGUUCAGUACAGAAAGGUAGAAUUUUACACGAUAAAGGUGAAAUCUGUAGAUAUGUAAAGGAAUGCCAAUAGCGAAGGCAACUUUUUAGUAUGAACUGACGUCGAGGGGACGAAAGCGUGGGUAGCAAAUGGGAUUAGAGACCCCAGUAGUCCACGCUGUAAAUUCUGAGUGCUGUAAUUUAAUUGCAAUAUUUCAGUAUAUUGUUUAGAUUUCUAAGCUAACGCUAUAAGCACUCCGCCUGAAGAGUACGGUCGCAAGAUUGGAACUCAAAGGAAUUGACGGGGGUCUAACACUAGUGGUGGAGCAUGUGGUUUAAUGCGAUAAUCCGCGCAAAACCUUACCAAUUUUUGACAUAUUUGAAUAGUUUCUUUUCAGAAAACGCUUUAAGGCUAACUAUUUUUUUACAGGUGUUGCACGACUGUCGUCAGCUCGUGUCGUGAGAUGUUUGGUUAAGUCCUGAAACGGGCGUAACUCUUGCUUUU
rnacentral:rRNA from 1 species